GACGAACGCUGGCGGCGUGCUUAACACAUGCAAGUCGAGCGGUAAGGCUCCUUCGGGAGUACACGAGCGGCGAACGGGUGAGUAACACGUGAGCAAUCUGCCCUUCACACUGGGAUAACCCCCGGAAACGGGAGCUAAUACCAGAUACGACCACUUCGGGCAUCCGAUGGUGGUGGAAAGUUCUGGCGGUCAAGGAUGGGCUCGCGGCCUAUCAGCUUGUUGGUGAGGUAAUGGCUCACCAAGGCUUCGACGGGUAGCCGGCCUGAGAGGGCGACCGGCCACACUGGGACUGAGAUACGGCCCAGACUCCUACGGGAGGCAGCAGUGGGGAAUAUUGCACAAUGGGCGAAAGCCUGAUGCAGCAACGCCGCGUGCGGGAUGACGGCCUUCGGGUUGUAAACCGCUUUCAGCAGGGACGAAGCGAAAGUGACGGUACCUGCAGAAGAAGGACCGGCCAACUACGUGCCAGCAGCCGCCGUAAUAC
rnacentral:rRNA from 1 species